UCUCUGUUGGUGUAAUGGCAGCACCCCAGAUUUUGGAUCUGGUAGCCGAGGUUCGACCCCUCGACGGAGAG
rnacentral:tRNA from 1 species